rnacentral:sRNA from 12 species
AGCCUAACCCUUAUUUUAAAAAAAUAAGGUAUGGUGAAAGAAACCGUUCAGAGUAUCAAGCUCCUCGUCAGAGCACUCUGAACGGUCGUAUCUGGAAACGGGUAUGGGUGACUUCGGUCAUU